AUCAGUGGCGAACGGGUGAGUAACACGUGAGUAACCUGCCCCUGACUCUGGGAUAAGCGUUGGAAACGACGUCUAAUACCGGAUAUGACUUACGGACGCAUGUUCUGUGGGUGGAAAGAUUUUUCGGUUGGGGAUGGACUCGCGGCCUAUCAGCUUGUUGGUGAGGUAAUGGCUCACCAAGGCGACGACGGGUAGCCGGCCUGAGAGGGUGACCGGCCACACUGGGACUGAGACACGGCCCAGACUCCUACGGGAGGCAGCAGUGGGGAAUAUUGCACAAUGGGCGCAAGCCUGAUGCAGCAACGCCGCGUGAGGGACGACGGCCUUCGGGUUGUAAACCUCUUUUGGCAGGGAAGAAGCGAAAGUGACGGUACCUGCAGAAAAAGCACCGGCUAACUACGUGCCAGCAGCCGCGGUAAUACGUAGGGUGCAAGCGUUGUCCGGAAUUAUUGGGCGUAAAGAGCUCGUAGGCGGUUUGUCGCGUCUGCUGUGAAAACGCGAGGCUCAACCUCGCGCCUGCAGUGGGUACGGGCAGACUAGAGUGCGGUAGGGGAGAUUGGAAUUCCUGGUGUAGCGGUGGAAUGCGCAGAUAUCAGGAGGAACACCGAUGGCGAAGGCAGAUCUCUGGGCCGUUACUGACGCUGAGGAGCGAAAGCGUGGGGAGCGAACAGGAUUAGAUACCCUGGUAGUCCACGCCGUAAACGUUGGGAACUAGAUGUGGGGUCCAUUCCACGGAUUCCGUGUCG
rnacentral:rRNA from 1 species